UAGCUAUGAACAAUGCUAGAUUUUUGAUGG
rnacentral:piRNA from 1 species